rnacentral:rRNA from 1 species
UACGUAGGUGACAAGCGUUGUCCGGAUUUACUGGGCGUAAAGAGCGCGCAGGCGGUCGAUCAAGUCGAGUGUGAAAGCCCCCGGCUCAACUGGGGAGGGUCAUUCGAUACUGAUCGACUCGAAGGCAGGAGAGGGUAGUGGAAUUCCGGGUGUAGUGGUGAAAUGCGUAGAUAUCCGGAGGAACACCAGUGGCGAAGGCGACUUUCUGGCCUGUUCUUGACGCUGAGGCGCGAAAGCUAGGGGAGCAAACGGG